rnacentral:rRNA from 1 species
AGGGGAAUAUUGGACAAUGGGCGCAAGCCUGAUCCAGCCAUGCCGCGUGAGUGAUGAAGGCCCUAGGGUUGUAAAGUUCUUUCACCGGUGAAGAUAAUGACGGUAACUGGAGAAGAAGCCCCGGCUAACUUCGUGCCAGCAGCCGCGGUAAUACGAAGGGGGCUAGCGUUGUUCGGAUUUACUGGGCGUAAAGCGCACGUAGGCGGACUUUUAAGUCAGGGGUGAAAUCCCGGGGCUCAACCCCGGAACUGCCUUUGAUACUGGAAGUCUGGAGUAUGGUAGAGGUGAUGGGAAUUCCGAGUGUAGAGGUGAAGUUCGUAGAUAUUCGGAGGAACACAAGUGGCGAAGGCGGCUCACUGGACCAUUACUGACGCUGAGGUGCGAAAGCGGGGGGAGCAAACAGG